GGCUGGAAAAGUUGCUUGCACACUGCUGUUGAUUUUGACACUGAUAAAUUACACAUAUGCAGCGGCGGCAGCUUUAGGAGCCAGUUGUUUAGCUGAUGUCGAUUGUACCGGUACAAAAAAUGCUGGAAAAUGUUCAACAACAUGCGGAUGCAAUGACGGAUUCUCAACCAACACCGCGAAUAAUGCAUGUAUAGCCAAUGGUGCUCUUACAGGCACAUGUGCAACUAAUGCUAGCUGUAAUGGAACUACGAAUGGUGACGUCUGUACAACAAACAAGUGCGAAUGUAAACACGGGUAUUCAGCAAACACUGCUGG